rnacentral:rRNA from 1 species
UACGUAGGGACCGAGCGUUGUCCGGAAUCAUUGGGCGUAAAGAGCGUGUAGGCGGCCACUUAAGUCCUGCGUGAAAUCUUGCGGCUCAACCGCAAGCGGUCGUGGGAAACUGGGUGGCUAGAGUGCGGGAGAGGAGAGUGGAAUUCCUGGUGUAGCGGUGGAAUGCGCAGAUAUCAGGAAGAACACCGGUGGCGAAGGCGGUUCUCUGGGCAUUACCUGACGCUGAGGAGCGAAAGUGUGGGGAGCGAACAGG